GACAGAGGGUGCAAACGUUGUUCGGAAUUACUGGGCGUAAAGCGUGUGUAGGCGGCCACGUAAGUCGGAUGUGAAAGCCCCAGGCUCAACCUGGGAAGUGCACUCGAUACUGCGUGGCUUGAGUAUCGGAGAGGUUGGUGGAAUUCUCGGUGUAGAGGUGAAAUUCGUAGAUAUCAUUUGGAACGCCAAUGGCGAAAGCAGGCAACUGGGGCUGUACCGACGCUGAGACACGAAAGCCAGGGGAGCGAACGGG
rnacentral:rRNA from 1 species